CCUACGGGUGGCAGCAGUGGGGGAUAUUGCUCAAUGGGGGCAACCCUGAUGCAGCGACGUCGCGUGGGUGAAGAAGCGCCUCGGCGCGUAAAGCUCUGUUAGUAGGGGAGUAAAUUACGGUACCUGAAGAAGAAGCUCCGGCUAACUACGUGCCAGCAGCCGCGGUAAUACGUAGGGGGCAAGCGUUAUCCGGAUUUACUGGGUGUAAAGGGGGCGCAGACGGGGAUGCAAGCCAGGAGUGAAAGGCCGGGGCCCAACCUCGGGACUGCUCUUGGAACUGGAUGGCUAGAGUGCAGGAGGGGCAGGCGGAAUUCGUGGUGUAGCGGUGAAAUGCGUAGAUAUCAGGAGGAACACCGAUGGCGAAGGCGGCCUGCUGGACUGCAACUGACGUUGAGGCCCGAAAGCGUGGGGAGCAAACAGGAUUAGAUACCCCUGUAGUC
rnacentral:rRNA from 1 species